GGCCCGUUAGCUCAAUGGAUCGAGCCGCAGCCUUCUAAUCUGCUGAUAGAGGUUCGAUUCCUCUACGGGCUA
rnacentral:tRNA from 2 species